AUUGAACGCUGGCGGCAGGCAUAACACAUGCAAGUCGAGCGGAGAUGAGGUGCUUGCACCUUAUCUUAGCGGCGGACGGGUGAGUAAUGCUUAGGAAUCUGCCUAUUAGUGGGGGACAACAUUCCGAAAGGAAUGCUAAUACCGCAUACGUCCUACGGGAGAAAGCAGGGGAUCUUUGGACCUUGCGCUAAUAGAUGGGCCUAAGUCGGAUUAGCUAGUUGGUGGGGUAAAGGCCUACCAAGGCGACGAUCUGUAGCGGGUCUGAGAGGAUGAUCCGCCACACUGGGACUGAGACACGGCCCAGACGCCUACGGGAGGCAGCAGUGGGGAAUAUUGGACAAUGGGGGGAACCCUGAUCCAGCCAUGCCGCGUGUGUGAAGAAGGCCUUAUGGUUGUAAAGCACUUUAAGCGAGGAGGAGGCUACUGAGACUAAUACUCUUGGAUAGUGGACGUUACUCGCAGAAUAAGCACCGGCUAACUCUGUGCCAGCAGCCGCGGUAA
rnacentral:rRNA from 1 species